rfam:Penicillium subrubescens strain CBS 132785 PENSTBscaffold_205, whole genome shotgun sequence.
GUCACUUUGGCCGAGUGGUGAAGGCGCGCCCCUGCUAUUGCAGCGACUGGAUUCUGACGCAGAGUCCAGGGAACUAGCUCAGGGCGUUCAUUCGUGAGCGUAGGUUCGAAUCCUGCAGGUGACG